GAGACUCUGUGCGCGUGCAUAUCAAUAAGCGGAGGAAAAGAAACUAACAAGGAUUCCCUUAGUAACGGCGAGUGAAGCGGGAAGAGCUCAAAUUUGAAAUCUUCAAGGUUCUACCUUGACGAAUUGUAGUUUAAAGAAGUGUUUUCUGUUAGAUGAGUAGCAAAAGUUCCUUGGAAUGGGACAUCAUAGAGGGUGAGAAUCCCGUAUUUGGUUAUUCAUUCUAGCUUUGUGAUACACUUUCAAAGAGUCGGAUUGUUUGGGAAUGCAGUCCAAAAUGGGUGGUAAAUUUCAUCUAAAGCUAAAUAUUGGCGAAGAGACCGAUAGCGAACAAGUACCGUGAGGGAAAGAUGAAAAGAACUUUGAAAAGAGAGUUAAACAGUACGUGAAAUUGUCAAAAGGGAAGCGUUUGACACCAGUGUUGUUUUUCCGAAAAUCAAUUACGAAUGGCUUGAUUUUGUGUUGUAUUGACCUUAUCAGCUUUCUUCACUUUUUUCGAGUCUUUCUUAAUGCACCUCUUCGGUUAACAAGUCAACAUCAAUUUCUUUUGUUGUAAAAGAGUAUUCGGAAGGUGGCUUUCUUUUCGGAGAAAGUGUAUAUAGCCCUAUACUUCUACAAUCGGAGAGAUUGAGGUCUGCAGCGUAGAUCCUUCGGGGUUAGAUACAUUUGUGCUAAGUUGUAGCUUUUCAUAGACAACUUGUUGACUAUGUUUAGUCAUGCGGCUUACUCGCUUGUGCUAUUUUACCUACGCUUAGGAUGUUGACUGAUAUGUAGUCGUA
rnacentral:rRNA from 1 species